rnacentral:rRNA from 1 species
UACGUAGGGUGCGAGCGUUAAUCGGAAUCACUGGGCGUAAAGCGCACGUAGGCGGCUUUCUAAGUCAGGGGUGAAAUCCUGGAGCUCAACUCCAGAACUGCCUUUGAUACUGGAGAGCUUGAGUCCGGAAGAGGUGAGUGGAACUCCGAGUGUAGAGGUGAAAUUCGUAGAUAUUCGGAAGAACACCAGUGGCGAAGGCGGCUCACUGGUCCGGUACUGACGCUGAUGUGCGAAAGCGUGGGGAGCAAACAGG